rnacentral:rRNA from 1 species
GAUGAACGCUGGCGGCGUGCUUAACACAUGCAAGUCGAACGGAAAGGCCCAAGCUUGCUUGGGUACUCGAGUGGCGAACGGGUGAGUAACACGUGGGUGAUCUGCCCUGCACUUCGGGAUAAGCCUGGGAAACUGGGUCUAAUACCGGAUAGGACGAUGGUUUGGAUGCCAUUGUGGAAAGUUUUUUCGGUGUGGGAUGAGCUCGCGGCCUAUCAGCUUGUUGGUGGGGUAAUGGCCUACCAAGGCGUCGACGGGUAGCCGGCCUGAGAGGGUGUACGGCCACAUUGGGACGGAGAUACGGCCCAGACUCCUACCGGAGGCAGGAGUGGGGAAUAUUGCACAAUGGGCGCAAGCCUGACGCAGCGACGCCGCGUGGGGGAUGACGGCAUUCGGGUUGUAAACUCCUUUCGCUAGGGACGAAGCGUUUUUGUGACGGUACCUGGAGAAGAAGCACCGGCUAACUACGUG